rnacentral:rRNA from 1 species
UAGGGAAUAUUGGACAAUGGGCGAAAGCCUGAUCCAGCCAUGCCGCGUGAUGGAUGAAGGCCCUCUGGGUUGUAAACAUCUUUUAUCAGGGAAGAAACACCUCGUUUCUACGAGGCUUGACGGUACCUGAUGAAUAAGCACCGGCUAACUCCGUGCCAGCAGCCGCGGUAAUACGGAGGGUGCAAGCGUUAUCCGGAUUUACUGGGUUUAAAGGGUGCGUAGGCGGGAAAAUAAGUCAGUGGUGAAAGCACCGGGCUCAACUCGGUAACUGCCAUUGAUACUGUUUUUCUUGAAUGCGAUUGAGGUAAGCGGAAUGUUGCAUGUAGCGGUGAAAUGCUUAGAUAUGUUACAGAACACCAAUUGUGAAGACAGCUUACUAAGUCGUGAUUGACGCUGAGGC